GACAGAGGGGGCAAGCGUUGCUCGGAAUUACUGGGCGUAAAGGGCGCGUAGGCGGGAUGGCAAGUCGGUCGUGAAAUCCCUCGGCUCAACUGAGGAGCGUCGAUCGAAACUGCCGUUCUUGAGGGUUGCAGAGGAGACUGGAAUUCCCGGUGUAGCGGUGAAAUGUGUAGAGAUCGGGAGGAACACCGGUGGCGAAGGCGGGUCUCUGGGCAACUCCUGACGCUGAGGCGCGAAAGCGUGGGGAGCGAACGGG
rnacentral:rRNA from 1 species